AAGUCGUAACAAGGUUUCCGUAGGUGAACCUGCGGAAGGAUCAUUAACAAAUCCAUGGCUCAUCUCCUAGUGAGGUGGGUUGUAUGUUCCGGUGCUGAGCGCUGUGGCGCGAGGUGCCGUGUUCAAAGACGUGCUCUGCACAAGUAUGUAAGUCGGACUGAAACAGUAUGGUGGGAACAAUAACAAACAACUUUUAACAAUGGAUCUCUAGGCUCUU
rnacentral:misc_RNA from 1 species